rnacentral:rRNA from 1 species
AGAUUGAACGCUGGCGGCAUGCCUUACACAUGCAAGUCGAACGGCAGCACGGGAGCAAUCCUGGUGGCGAGUGGCGAACGGGUGAGUAAUAUAUCGGAACGUGCCCAGUCGUGGGGGAUAACGUAGAGAAAUUUACGCUAAUACCGCAUACGAUCUAAGGAUGAAAGCGGGGGACUUCGCAAGAGGCCUCGCGCGAUUGGAGCGGCUGAUAUCAGAUUAGGUUGUUGGUGAGGUAAAAGCUCACCAAGCCGACGAUCUGUAGCUGGUUUGAGAGAACGACCAGCCACACUGGGACUGAGACACGGCCCAGACUCCUACGGGA